rnacentral:rRNA from 1 species
AACGCGAAGAACCUUACCUACUCUUGACAUCCAGAGAACUUAGCAGAGAUGCUUUGGUGCCUUCGGGAACUCUGAGACAGGUGCUGCAUGGCUGUCGUCAGCUCGUGUUGUGAAAUGUUGGGUUAAGUCCCGCAACGAGCGCAACCCUUAUCCUUUGUUGCCAGCGAUUCGGUCGGGAACUCAAAGGAGACUGCCAGUGAUAAACUGGAGGAAGGUGGGGAUGACGUCAAGUCAUCAUGGCCCUUACGAGUAGGGCUACACACGUGCUACAAUGGCAUAUACAAAGAGAAGCGACCUCGUGAGAGCAAGCGGACCUCAUAAAGUAUGUCGUAGUCCGGAUUGGAGUCUGCAACUCGACUCCAUGAAGUCGGAAUCGCUAGUAAUCGUGGAUCAGAAUGCCACGGUGAAUACGUUCCCGGGUCUUGUACACACCG